UGUCAAUUGUUUUCUUAGAUACACUACACUAAUAAUUAUUUUCAAUUACUUUUCAUUGAUGUUGUAAAUCGUUCAUUAAAAAUAUUUCAUAAUCUGGUUUUAGUUAAAACGAGUUAAACUGUUAUUGUUAAACAAUUUAGUUUAUGUUUUUUUUUAUGUCAAUUUAAAACUAUUUCAUUUAUUAAACCAAUAUAAUUAGUAUUACAAAUUGUAAGAAUAAUGAAACCACACUCUAAGAUAUGUCUAUUGGAGAAUCUUUCUAUUAAUAAUAUGAUAUUGGACUAAAGGAACUAAGUAUCAGAGUUAUUAAUUUCAAGGAAAUAUUAAAUACUUCAAGAUGCCGUUAAUUCAAGUAGAUGUAAAAAUGUUACCAAUGAAAGUGCACUACUUUCUGUUUAUGGGAGGUAA